GUGAGGAAUAUUGCGCAAUGGAGGCAACUCUGACGCAGCCAUGCCGCGUGCAGGAAGAAGGCGCUACGCGUUGUAAACUGCUUUUAACCGGGAAGAAACCCCAGGACGUGUCCUGGGUUGACGGUACCGGAGGAAUAAGCACCGGCUAACUUCGUGCCAGCAGCCGCGGUAAUACGAAGGGUGCAAGCGUUAUCCGGAUUCAUUGGGUUUAAAGGGUGCGUAGGCGGAGCGUUAAGUCAGUGGUGAAAUCCUGCAGCUUAACUGUAGACUUGCCAUUGAUACUGGCGCUCUUGAGUGCGCUUGAAGUGGGCGGAAUGUGCCGUGUAGCGGUGAAAUACUUAGAUAUGGCACAGAACACCAAUUGCGAAGGCAGCUCACUAAGGCGAUACUGACGCUGAGGCACGAAAGCGUGGGGAUCGAACAGGAUUAGAAACCCUAGUAGUCC
rnacentral:rRNA from 1 species